rnacentral:rRNA from 1 species
GGCAGCAGUGAGGAAUAUUGGACAAUGGCCGGAAGGUUGAUCCAGCCAUGCCGCGUGCAGGAUGACUGCCCUAUGGGUUGUAAACUGCUUUUAUACGGGAAGAAACCUCCCCACGUGUGGGGAGCUGACGGUACCGUAAGAAUAAGGACCGGCUAACUCCGUGCCAGCAGCCGCGGUAAUACGGAGGGUCCGAGCGUUAUCCGGAAUCAUUGGGUUUAAAGGGUCCGUAGGCGGGCCUGUAAGUCAGAGGUGAAAGGCCACGGCUCAACCGUGGGACUGCCUUUGAUACUGCAGGUCUUGAGUCGUUGUGGAGUUGCCGGAACAUGUGGUGUAGCGGUGAAAUGCAUAGAUAUCACAUAGAACACCGAUCGCGAAGGCAGGUAACUAACAACGUACUGACGCUGAUGGACGAAAGCGUGGGGAGCGAACGGGAUUAGAUACCCCGGUAGUCCACGCCGUAAACGAUGGACACUAGCUGUCGGGACUUCGGUCUCGGCGGCCAAGCGAAAGUGGUAAGUGUCCCACCUGGGGAGUACGUUCGCAAGAAUGAAACUCAAAGGAAUUGACGGGGGCCCGCACAAGCGGUGGAGCAUGUGGUUUAAUUCGAUGAUACGCGAGGAACCUUACCAGGGCUUAAAUGCAGGCUGCAUGGGGCAGAGACGCCCCUUUCUUCGGACCGCCUGCAAGGUGCUGCAUGGUUGUCGUCAGCUCGUGCCGUGAGGUGUCAGGUUAAGUCCUAUAACGAGCGCAACCCCUGCCGUUAGUUGCCAGCAUGUAAAGAUGGGGACUCUAACGGGACUGCCGGUGCAAACCGUGAGGAAGGUGGGGACGACGUCAAAUCAUCACGGCCCUUACGUCCUGGGCCACACACGUGCUACAAUGGCCGGUACAGAGGGAAGCCACCCCGCGAGGGGGAGCGGAUCUACAAAACCGGUCACAGUUCGGAUCGGGGUCUGCAACUCGACCCCGUGAAGCUGGAAUCGCUAGUAAUCGCAUAUCAGCCAUGAUGCGGUGAAUACGUUCCCGGGCCUUGUACACACCGCCCGUC